UGUAGUUGUUAAUUUUAAACAAAUCCACGCGACUAACGCGACGAUAUAUUCUGGCGGAAGGGUACAAACCCAAGCCAGAGGUGAUCAGUGAGAUUGAAGCUGUACAAAGAACUUGCAAGUUGUGUUGUGAUCAGUGGACGGACUUACGUUUUCACCGGAUUCCCAUAUAUUACGUGGGGAUCUACGAUUUCAAAAGCUGGCAGUUCACGAAGAGGAAGCAGGGCCGGUGAUCGGUAGAAUCAGCGUGAAUUUCUUCAUUUGAUUCCGCUGUUUUUAAGGUGUGAGCCCGAUUUCUUUUAGUAUAGGCAACAAAAAUGAAUCAUGCACCUGGGCAUGUUCCGGAUAAAGAACUAGACGAUCUACUUGAUUUUAGUGCUAUGUUUUCACCACCAAUUGGAAAGACAGGAGGACCUGGUGAGCCGCCGGGAGCACUAUAUAAUGCACCUCACUACAAUAAAGUUGUUCCCGAGUCCGAUUCAUGGACUGCAAACAAUACAAGCAGUUCUUACGAUGCAAGGGUAAGUGUGAAGCUCUCUUAUUUUUUCUAUUA